rnacentral:lncRNA from 1 species
CCACAGAUGAGCUCAACCUCAACGACGAUGAUGGAAUCGAUGCCAACUUCCCAGAUGACGUGCAAGCCAACGACGUGUCCACCGUGCCCAGCGAUACCACCCGAGUGCACCGA